rnacentral:lncRNA from 1 species
UCUGUCUUGAGUUCAGUUCUCUGCAACAUAAUGCUUAUGAGUCAUAACGAGUUAACGUAAGAACAGGUGUACAUCCAUUUCUCCCUAUCUAUAUCUAUAUAAAUACAUGGGUCUCUUUUCUCUUUCUGAGAUAACAGUCCCAGGGUUCUACCCAUGUGACCAGCGGGACACCAUGGAGGAGAUACAGAAGGAGGUCGUCCGGCUGUGCAACGGCUACCCGGAGGGUCUUCCAAUACAGGAGAUCCAUGGCCUCUACCAGCGGACCUACGGGAAACCCCUGCGUCUCGGGACCCCUAAAAGGUUUGCCCCGCUGCAGACCCUGCUUAGGAGCAUGCCUGACCAUCUCUAUCUGUGCACCAAUGGGGAGAUGGAAGUGUGGCCCAUCGCAUCUCGGCCAUCGGCCUCGCGGUCGGCACCUUCUUUCCCGUCGGCGCCGGCUGCCCUAGCAGCAGCACACGGCCCUCGGCUGGCCUCCCCGCGGAACGGCAGCUCCGGCGGUAAAGUUGAGUGAUGUCAUCGGCAGCCGCUGAGGUGAGGGGAUGUUCCGUCCGUCUAGCAGCAGCCGUUGACUCUUAUCGG